rnacentral:rRNA from 1 species
UAAUAGUGUAUAUUAAAGUUGUUGCAGUUAAAAAGCUCGUAGUUGAAUGUUGGUGUCGAACGAGCGGUCAGCUUCGGCUGUACUGCUCUCUCGACUCCUUCCUUCUGUGGACUACGUCGCACUUUACUGUGUGGCGCUAGGACGCAGAUCGUUUACUGCGAAAAAAUUAGAGUGUUCAAAGCAGGCCGUACGCUUGAAUACAUUAGCAUGGAAUAAUGGAAUAGGACGUCGGGCCUAUUUUGUUGGUUCUAGGACCGUCGUAAUGAUUAAUAGGGACAGUUGGGGCCGUUUAUAUUCCGUAGUCAGAGGUGAAAUUCUUGGAUUUACGGAAGAUAAACUACUGCGAAAGCAUUCGGCAAGGAUGUUUUCGUUA